ensembl:lncRNA
GCCGGGCCCUAAGCGCCUCCUCCGCCCCCGCCCCGCAGGCAGCGGGAGGACGGAUCGGGGCGGGGGGGGUCCGAGUGUCCCUAUCCCAGAUCCCGCCCCGACACCUCCCCGCGCCUCGGGACCUCCCCCGGCAGCCCUCCCCCCAUUCCUCUUCCCCCCCCCCCCACCCCCCCCAAAGUCUCCCUUCCCAAAUUCCUCCUCCCAAAUACCCCCGCAACUGUCCCACCUCCCAGCUAUCCCCCCCCCCCCCCCCGCCAAAUAUCCCUCCCCAGUAGGAACCCCAAAGAUCCCCUCCCCGAUAUCCCCUCCCCAAAUACGCCUUCCCCAAACGCACCCCCCAAGUAACCCCCCUCCCAAGCACCCCCACCCAGAAACCUCCCCAAGUACCCCCCCGCCAAAUGCCCCUCCCAAAUACCCCCCCACCCAAAAUACCUCCCCCUAACCCCCCCCCAAUACACUCUCCCCAAACCCUUUCCAUACACACCCAGAAAGUCUUCCCUCCCCAAACCACUCCUUAAAUACCCCAACCCCCCAAAUACCCUCUCCCAAACGCCCCCCCCCAAGUAUUCCCUCACCAAAGCACCCCCCCAAAUACCCCCUCCCCAAACGAUUGCCCCCCCCCCGAGGCAUAACCCCCCACCAUAUACCCCCUACAUCACGAUAAAUGCCACUGUUCCCAAUUGGGAUCAAAAGCCACGGCUGUAUUUUCACCCUCUGUCUUCAUACCACCCCAAUGCUUCGAGUCCAGUCCUGCAGACGUCAGGGUUAGAUAAAACCCCUGUGAAAUGGCCCCAGGAGAGGGAUGUGGACCCAGAAGAGGAAUGUGGACCCCAAAGCCCCCUCAGCACCGCAGGCCUAACAGUGGGUACAUCACCUCCAUUUUGCCCGCGGGAGGAAUCCGUGCUGCUGAGCGUGGUGGCUGCUUGCUCCGGAGCGUUUAUCUCCUUGGACUGUUGGUUAGAGCAAAGCCUCAGGAGGAGCAAGGCCAUACACCUGCCAGCUACCCAAGAGCGAUCCCAAGAAGCUUGGAGAGUACUGAUAGAGGAGAACUCCAUCGCUCCAGAAACCUCACCACUUCCAAAUGUAUUAAUGGAAAAAAUAAUGAGAAUUAGUGAAAAAUGAAAAAAUAAAAAAUAAAAUAAGGCUCUUUCCCAGUUAUUUAACAUAGGAAGGAAAAUCUCCAGAGAUCACCACGUCAUUCCUCACCACGUCCACCACAUUUGGUCAUCUCAGCACUGAUACACACAGAGGGUCCCAGAGCUCCUUCCAGACAGACCCUCACCUUGGGCACAGGACCAGAAGUGAAUUCAGCACCUUGCAGGUCUGGGGGAUGAGCUCGGCAGGGACAUGACUCUUAAAAGUGGAGCCAGAGAGAUGGGGACUUGUACGUGUUGAGCGGCGGUGGCUCAGAAGAGGCCAUCACAUAGCUGUGUGCUCGGGGAAAAGGGCUGAGCUCAAAACAUUCUAAUGACAUUUAAGCUUUUGUCUCCUUCUCAGCAUCCACGUUUGUCCAGUUCUACCUUGGAUCUGCACCUCUGACUCGAGAGCUGAAUUAUGUGUGGUGCAAACAAGUCCUGCCUUUGUUUUAAGACUUCUUUCACCUGAUGUCUUCUGUUUCUCACAUUGUAAGGAAGAAUAAUUGCUCCUUGCUUGCCCUUCCCUGCUGCUCAGGUUUUUAUAGACCUCUGCCACAGCUCCCAUCUGUCAUCCCUCUCCUAUGCUGAUAAGCACCAGGUUAUUUAACUUUCCUCACACAAAGCUGUUUCCACCCCUCUGGUCUCCUUUGACACCCCUCUAAAUUGUCACCUAGGGAGAUCUGAUGUCUCAAUGCAGCAGCUUGGAGCCACCAGACACGCACAAGAAAUACACAAACAAUGCCCCACGUCUGGCUGAAACCUCUGGAAGUGAAAAUCUGAUUAGUCCCACUUUUAACCAUCUCACACCUACCCAGACCAGUCUUCCAGGCAGUGAUCUGGAAGCCUGACUUCUUAAAAUGGCACGUCUUGAAUCACCAAGCCACUCUUAACUGCUCUCCGUGAUGAGUUCUGCUCAGCUGUCAUGCUCUCCUGUCUUCUGCUUCCCAGAAACCAUGAAAAAGUCAGAGAAAAACAUAUACAUAAUAAAUUCAUGAUGGAUUUCCAAGGAUUCUUGUCUCUUUCUUGAGUGGGUCAAGGUUGGACUCAUAGAAAUAAGUGGGGAAAAAGGUGGUGAAGAGGUCUUGAACAAAGCUAACCAGGGCAGUCUUAAAUGAAAUUGAAGGCAGGGGUACACUGCGAGGAAGGAAGGGAUGCUGGGAUGGAGGAAUCCUUUGGGCAGCAAACCCACCCUUGGC